rnacentral:rRNA from 1 species
GAUGAACGCUGGCGGCAUGCCUAACACAUGCAAGUCGAUCGGUAAGGCUCUUCGGUGUACCCGAGAGGCUGACGGCUGGGUGACGCGUAGACACACACACUGCCGUCAGGGAUAAGACACCGAACGGUGUUAUAAUACCGCAUACGGUCUUCGAAUUAAAGCAUUUAUGCGCUGAAGGAGUGGCCUGCGUCGUAUUAGCUAGUUGGUGAGGUAAUGGCUCACCUAGUCGAUGAUGUGUAGCGGACCUGAGAGGAGGAUCAGCCAAACUGGAACGGAGACACGGUCAGCAAGCCUAGGGGAGGCACCAGUCGCGAAUCUUCCGGGAGGGGCGAAAGCAUGAAGAAGCCACAACGCGUGAAUGCUGAAGGUCGUCGGACCGUGAAAAGGUGUUAGGACGGAGGAAUAAAAGUGUAUUUAAAUAGGGACGUUUUGACGGUAACUUAUGAGAAAGGGACGGCUAAAUACGUG